AGUCUUCUGUAUCCGUGCUGAGCUUUCGACACAAAUCAGACCGCAAGGACUGAUGAUACCUUCAAGAUAAGUGAAGCG
rnacentral:pre_miRNA from 1 species